rnacentral:misc_RNA from 1 species
AAGUCGUAACAAGGUCUCCGUAGGUGAACCUGCGGAGGGAUCAUUAACAAGAAUCGUUGGUGUCAUGGAAAAAAGUGACUGCGCCAGCAGGAACUUUUUCUCCAUGACCCAACCAAACACAUGUUGCCACCGAUGGUUGGAUUUCAACUCGCGGUGGCACACAUACAUUCACAUUUCUACAACAACCACUACAACGAUAAACAAACAACAACUUUUAACAAUGGAUCUCUUGGCUCUU